rnacentral:rRNA from 1 species
GACGAGCGCUGGCGGCGUGCCUAACACAUGCAAGUCGAACGAGGUCCAAGGGAGCUUGCUCCCUGACGACCUAGUGGCGAACGGGUGAGUAACACGUGAGAAACCUGCCUCGGAGUGGGGAAUAACUCGGGGAAACUCGAGCUAAUACCGCGUACCUUCACAUGAUCGCAUGGUCGAGUGAAGAAAGAAUUUCGCUCUGAGAGGGUCUCGCGGCCUAUCAGCUUGUUGGUGGGGUAACGGCCUACCAAGGCAACGACGGGUAGCUGGUUUGAGAGAACGCUCAGCCACACUGGGACUGAGACACGGCCCAGACUCCUACGGGAGGCAGCAGUGGGGAAUCUUGCGCAAUGGGCGAAAGCCUGACGCAGCAACGCCGCGUGCGGGAUGACGGCCUUCGUGGUUGUAAACCGCUUUCAGCAGGGACGAAAAUGACGGUACCUGCAGAAGAAGCCCCGGCUAACUACGUGCCAGCCGCCGCCGUAAGAC